UACGGAGGGUGCGAGCGUUACCCGGAUUUACUGGGUGUAAAGGGCGUGUAGGCGGUCUCUCAAGUCCGAUGCUAAAGACCGAAGCUCAACUUCGGGGGUGCGUUGGAUACUGUGAGGCUAGACGGUCGGAGAGGGUAGCGGAAUUUCCGGAGUAGCGGUGAAAUGCGCAGAUACCGGAAGGAACGCCAAUAGCGAAAGCAGCUACCUUGACGAUUGGUGACGCUGAGGCGCGAAAGCGUGGGGAGCAAACCGG
rnacentral:rRNA from 1 species